rnacentral:tRNA from 1 species
GCAGGCGGUAGCCGACGGCGACGGCGGCCGCGGUGCCGAGGACCGCGCGGAUCUGGUGCUCAGGUCCGCCGCGCCAGCGC